UACAGAGGGUGCAAGCGUUAAUCGGAAUUACUGGGCGUAAAGCGUGCGUAGACGGUCAUGUAAGUCGGGUGUGAAAGCCCCGGGCUCAACCUGGGAAUUGCAUUCGAGACUGCAUGGCUAGGGUGCGGAAGAGGGAAGCGGAAUUUCCGGUGUAGCGGUGAAAUGCGUAGAUAUCGGAAGGAACACCAGUGGCGAAAGCGGCUUCCUGGUCCAGCACCGACGUUCAGGCACGAAAGCGUGGGAGCAAACAGG
rnacentral:rRNA from 1 species